rnacentral:rRNA from 1 species
AACGAACGCUGGCGGCAUGCCUAACACAUGCAAGUCGAACGAGACCUUCGGGUCUAGUGGCGCACGGGUGCGUAACGCGUGGGAACCUGCCCUUAGGUUCGGAAUAACUCCCCGAAAGGGGUGCUAAUACCGGAUCAUGUCUUCGGACCAAAGAUUUAUCGCCUUUGGAUGGGCCCGCGUUGGAUUAGCUAGUUGGUAGGGUAAAAGCCUACCAAGGCGACGAUCCAUAGCUGGUCUGAGAGGAUGAUCAGCCACACUGGGACUGAGACACGGCCCAGACUCCUACGGGAGGCAGCAGUGGGGAAUAUUGGACAAUGGGCGAAAGCCUGAUCCAGCAAUGCCGCGUGAGUGAUGAAGGCCUGAGGGUUGUAAAGCUCUUUUACCCGUGAUGAUAAUGACAGUACCGGGAGAAUAAGCUCCGGCUAACUCCGUG